CACCAACAGGUCUCAUCUCCCUGCUGUUCCAAGACCCCUACUAGACUGAGCCAGAAGGAACUUUCAGAAGAGUGAAGAGCUGAGCCACUGUGAAGUCUAGCAGCUCCUAUGAAGGUGGCAUCACAUGGAUCUUCGACCGUGGGGACUGUUAGCCACUUCUAUUUUUCUCCCAGAUCCAAUUCACAGUGCUUCUGUAAUUUUCUAAAUGGCAACCUGAUAAUGUAAGAGCAUCUUUGUGAACUCCAAGAGGGUCUUAACAUGUUUUUCAAUUAUUUUCCUUUCAUUUUCAAAAUGAAAUAACAGACACUAAAAGAAAAACAUCAUGAGUAAAGAUUUAUUUUCCAUUCCUACUCUAUAGCCUUGAAUGAGUGUCUUGAUAAUGUUUUGCACUGGGUUCCACAUCUAUAAAACAAGGACAAAAUGAUCUUUUCUCCUAUGUCAUUGUGAUUCUUUAUACAUGAAGUAUUAUCAUUAGUGUUAAAUCUAUCAUGAUAGUUAGCAUAAAAUAAUCAUUUAUUAAUUAUAA
rnacentral:lncRNA from 1 species